ensembl:lncRNA
CAAUAAUGUGUGUUCAAUAUUUUCAAGAUUCUGUUUCUGUUUCCUGUUUCCUGAAAGGACACAUUUUGGGUUAAACAGCUAAUCUGUUGAGCAAAGAAUCCUCUUCUGCUGAGCGGUGCGCCUGCAAGUGUGCAUGCGUGAGAGUGAACGUACGCGGGCCUGCGUGACAUGAAGAUGACAUGAAGUUCCACAGCACGCAUGAAUCCAGCCUUUUCUUUCUCGGAAAAGAGAGCACAAAGCACGGACGUGGACGAGGCAGACUGAGAGACUUAGAAGUGGAAGAGCUUGUUUGACGAUCUCCCACGCUUUCUUCAACAACAACCUCCUUCAGUCAAAAGUCACCUCACCGGUCCCGUCCCCAAACCUCCACCUCUCCACGAGGCGCCCAUGUGACUUGGAAAUAAGGCGCACAUUGUUGGCCGCCUGGUCUGAAGUCGCGAAGGUUGAGCAAUUAUCAGCAAGUGGAAAAAAAGGCAGGCUCAAGUGGAGUCUAGCUGCAGCAUGCGGGUCUGCCGUGCCCUCUGCGCUUGUUUUCACUGUCAUCAUUGGGAACGACGUGAUAGCAUCAAACCCCGGCCUCAGCGAAUUCACUGAAAAACAUCACAACAUCGUCUCUAUGGAGACAAUCAGAGGAGACUGUAAUUGAAAAAGCAAAAAAAAAAAACACAGCAGCAGCAAUUGCCAUACGACAAAGUCUGUGAAAUAAUGUCCGGGGGUCAGACUCAUCCGUCAUCCAGGCAGAGCUGAGAAGACGUGAAACAACAAUGCCAACAACGUCAUUUCACACCUCAACGUUUACACUGCCAGUUACGAACAUCCAACAGCAGGACAAUGAUCUUCAAACGCAUCACAACGCCGUCUCAUUAUUCAAGCUGCUCGUCUUUGUCAAGUCAGCAUCAAGUCAGAUCACCGUCAGCAGCUCAG